CAGCCGCCGCGGUAAUACAGAGGAUGCAAGCGUUAUCCGGAAUGACUGGGCGUAAAGCGUCUGUAGGUGGCUUUUCAAGUCCGCCGUCAAAUCCCAGGGCUCAACCCUGGACAGGCGGUGGAAACUACCAAGCUGGAGUACGGUAGGGGCAGAGGGAAUUUCCGGUGGAGCAGUGAAAUGCAUUGAGAUCAGAAAGAACACCAACGGCGAAAGCACUCUGCUGGGCCGACACUGACACUGAGAGAUGAAAGCUAGGGGAGCAAAUGGGAUUAGAUACCCGUGUAGUCCCUGUCUCUUAUCC
rnacentral:rRNA from 1 species